GCCUGACUGGCUCAGUCGGAAGAGCACGUGACUCUUAAUCUCAGGAUUGUGAGUUCAAGCCCCACGUGGUA
rnacentral:tRNA from 1 species